AACGCACCUUGCGCCCCUUGGCAUUCCGAGGGGCACACCCGUUUGAGUGUCGUGAAUUCAUCAAAACCUUUUCUUUGAUCCUUUUCGGUCAGGAAAAGGAUUUUUGGACUUGGAGGUUCUAUGCUUGCUUUCGCUUAUGAAAGUGAGCUCCUCUCAAAUGCAUUAGUGGGAUCUCUUUUGUGGACCGUCACUUGGUGUGAUAAUUAUCUAUGCCAUUGACUUGCUUAACGAGAAUCUGCUUAUAACCGUCUCGCAAGGGACAACACUUUAUUGACAAUUUGACCUCAAAUCAGGUAGGACUACCCGCUGAACUUAA
rnacentral:rRNA from 1 species